rnacentral:rRNA from 1 species
AUACGGAGGAUGCAAGCGUUAUCCGGAUUUAUUGGGUUUAAAGGGUGCGUAGGCGGGCUGUUAAGCGUGAGGUGAAAGCUCGGGGCUCAACCCCGGAACUGCCUCGCGAACUGGCGGCCUUGAAUGUCCGUGCCGUUGGAGGAAUGAGUGGUGUAGCGGUGAAAUGCUUAGAUAUCACUCAGAACACCGAUUGCGAAGGCAUCUGACGAAUCCGUCACUGACGCUGAGGCACGAAAGUGUGGGGAUAGAACAGGAUUAGAUACCCUGGUAUUCCACGCCGUAAACGAUGAUGACUAACCGUCGGCGAUAGACAGACGGUGGCCAAGCGAAAGCGAUAAGUCAUCCACCUGGGGAGUACGUCGGCAACGAUGAAACUCAAAGGAAUUGACGGG